rnacentral:rRNA from 1 species
GAUGCCAGCUAGCGAUCCGCCAAAGUUCCUCCGAUGACUUGGUGGGCAGCUUCCGGGAAACCAAAGCAUUUGGGUUCCGGGGGAAGUAUGGUUGCAAAGCUGAAACUUAAAGGAAUUGACGGAAGGGCACCACCAGGAGUGGAGCCUGCGGUUUAAUUUGACUCAACACGGGAAACCUCACCAGGCCCGGACACCGGAAGGAUUGACAGAUUGAGAGCUCUUUCUUGAUUCGGUGGGUGGUGGUGCAUGGCCGUUCUUAGUUGGUGGAGCGAUUUGUCUGGUUAAUUCCGAUAACGAACGAGACUCUAGCCUACUAAAUAGACGUACUUUAUUACCGGCAUCUCAAGGCCCAUCGGCUGUAUUGUUACUGAAUGUUAUUUGUAUAUUUUGUU